GAUGAAGAACGUAGCGAAAUGCGAUAAGUAGUGUGAAUUGCAGAAUUCAGUGAAUCAUCGAAUCUUUGAACGCACAUUGCGCCCCUUGGUAUUCCAUGGGGCAUGCCUGUUCGAGCGUCAUUUGUACCUUCAAGCUUUGCUUGGUGUUGGGUGUUUGUCUCGCCUCUGCGUGUAGACUCGCCUUAAAACAAUUGGCAGCCGGCGUAUUGAUUUCGGAGCGCAGUACAUCUCGCGCUUUGCACUCAUAACGACGACAUCCAAAAGUACAUUUUUACACUCUUGACCUCGGAUCAGGUAGGGAUACCCGCUGAACUUAAGCAUAUCAAUAAGCGGAGGA
rnacentral:misc_RNA from 1 species